rnacentral:rRNA from 1 species
UAGGGAAUCUUCGGCAAUGGACGAAAGUCUGACCGAGCAACGCCGCGUGAGUGAAGAAGGUUUUCGGAUCGUAAAACUCUGUUGUUGAGAAGAACAAGGACGUUAGUAACUGAACGUCCCCUGACGGUAUCUAACCAGAAAGCCACGGCUAACUACGUGCCAGCAGCCGCGGUAAUACGUAGGUGGCAAGCGUUGUCCGGAUUUAUUGGGCGUAAAGCGAGCGCAGGCGGUUUCUUAAGUCUGAUGUGAAAGCCCCCGGCUCAACCGGGGAGGGUCAUUGGAAACUGGGAGACUUGAGUGCAGAAGAGGAGAGUGGAAUUCCAUGUGUAGCGGUGAAAUGCGUAGAUAUAUGGAGGAACACCAGUGGCGAAGGCGGCUCUCUGGUCUGUAACUGACGCUGAGGCUCGAAAGCGUGGGGAGCAAACAGG